rnacentral:rRNA from 1 species
AUGGAGCACGACGAGCCCGAGCUGGAGGAGGCCGACGAGGAGGAGGAGGAGGAGGAGCGCGCCAUGUCGUGCGGGCUGGGCGGCAAGAAGCGGCGGCUGGCGCUGGAGCAGGUGCGCGCGCUGGAGCGCAGCUUCGAGACGGACAACAAGCUGGACCCGGAGCGCAAGGCCCGCAUCGCCCGCGACCUCGGCCUGCACCCGCGCCAGGUCGCCGUCUGGUUCCAGAACCGCCGCGCCCGCUGGAAGACAAAGCAGCUCGAGCGCGACUUCAACGCGCUCCGCGCCCGCCACGACGCGCUCCGCGCCGACUGCGACGCGCUCCGCCGCGACAAGGACGCCCUCGCCGCCGAGAUACAUGAGCUGAGGGAGAAGCUGUCCACCAAGCCGGAGACGUCGGUGAAGGCGGAGGCCGCCGGCAAUGCCGACGCCACGGAGGAGCGCCUGCAGCAGGCGACGAUGAUCGGCGCGGCGGUCUGCAAGGACGGAUCCUCGGACAGCGACUCGAGCGCGGUGUUCAACGACGAGGCGUCGCCGUACUCCGGCGCGGUCUUCGAGCAGCAGGGCUUCAUGGGGUUCGGCGCGUCGUUCCUGGACUCGGCGUCGGCGGCCGCGGCCACCACGGGCGGCGGCUGCUCGUCCCUGCCCAUGCUGGAGCCCAAAUGGCCCGGCGCGUACCCGUACGACGCGGGCAGGUCCGGCGGCUACGGGUUCACGGAGGAAUGGCUGGCCGGCUCGGACGCGAUCGGCAACGACGGCAGCGCGGCCUUCUUCUCCGAGGAGCACGUCUCCAACCUCAACUUCGGCUGGUGCAGCAGUGGCGCCGAGGGUUUUGAUCUCCAGAGUUACUGUAAAAAGUGA